rnacentral:rRNA from 1 species
GCUGGCGGCGUGCUUAACACAUGCAAGUCGAACGAUGAAGCCUUUCGGGGUGGAUUAGUGGCGAACGGGUGAGUAACACGUGGGCAAUCUGCCCUUCACUCUGGGACAAGCCCUGGAAACGGGGUCUAAUACCGGAUAACACUCUGUCCUGCAUGGGACGGGGUUAAAAGCUCCGGCGGUGAAGGAUGAGCCCGCGGCCUAUCAGCUUGUUGGUGGGGUAAUGGCCUACCAAGGCGACGACGGGUAGCCGGCCUGAGAGGGCGACCGGCCACACUGGGACUGAGACACGGCCCAGACUCCUACGGGAGGCAGCAGUGGGGAAUAUUGCACAAUGGGCGAAAGCCUGAUGCAGCGACGCCGCGUGAGGGAUGACGGCCUUCGGGUUGUAAACCUCUUUCAGCAGGGAAGAAGCGAAAGUGACGGUACCUGCAGAAGAAGCGCCGGCUAACUACGUGCCAGCAGCCGCGGUAAUACGUAGGGCGCAAGCGUUGUCCGGAAUUAUUGGGCGUAAAGAGCUCGUAGGCGGCUUGUCACGUCGGAUGUGAAAGCCCGGGGCUUAACCCCGGGUCUGCAUUCGAUACGGGCUAGCUAGAGUGUGGUAGGGGAGAUCGGAAUUCCUGGUGUAGCGGUGAAAUGCGCAGAUAUCAGGAGGAACACCGGUGGCGAAGGCGGAUCUCUGGGCCAUUACUGACGCUGAGGAGCGAAAGCGUGGGGAGCGAACAGGAUUAGAUACCCUGGUAGUCCACGCCGUAAACGUUGGGAACUAGGUGUUGGCGACAUUCCACGUCGU